UACGGGGGGAGCAAGCGUUGUUCGGAUUUACUGGCGUAAAGGGCGCGUAGGCGGUCAGCACAAGUCAGUUGUGAAAUCUCCGGGCUUAACUCGGAAAGGUCAACUGAUACUGUGCGACUAGAGUGCAGAAGGGGCAACUGGAAUUCUCGGUGUAGCGGUGAAAUGCGUAGAUAUCGAGAGGAACACCUGCGGCGAAGGCGGGUGCUGGGCUGACACGUGACGCUGGAGGCGCGAAGCCAGGGAGCGAACGGGA
rnacentral:rRNA from 1 species